AGUUGUAGCUCAAUUGGUAGAGCAGUGGUCUCCAAAACCACAGGUUGUAGGUUCAAGUCCUGCCAGC
rnacentral:tRNA from 1 species